rnacentral:rRNA from 1 species
UACGUAGGGGGCAAGCGUUGUCCGGAUUCAUUGGGCGUAAAGCGCGUGUAGGCGGCCAGGUAGGUCCGACGUGAAAACUGGAGGCUCAACCUCCAGCUGUCGUUGGAAACCAUCUGGCUAGGGUCCGGAAGAGGAGAGUGGAAUUCCUAGUGUAGAGGUGAAAUUCGUAGAUAUUAGGAAGAACACCAGUGGCGAAGGCGGCUCACUGGUCCGGUACUGACGCUGAGGUGCGAAAGCGUGGGGAGCAAACAGG